CAAUAGCGUAUAUUAAAGUUGUUGCAGUUAGAACGCUCGUAGUCGGAUUUCGGGGCGGGCCGACCGGUCUGCCGAUGGGUAUGCACUGGUCGGAGCGUCCUUCCUUCCGGAGACCGUCCCUACUCUUAACUGAGCGGGGGCGGGAGACGGGACUUUUACUUUGAAAAAAUCAGAGUGUUUCAAGCAGGCAGCUCGCUCUUGCAUGGAUUAGCAUGGGAUAAUGAAAUAGGACUUUGGUGCUAUUUUGUUGGUUUCGAACACCGAAGUAAUGAUGAGAAGGGACAGUCAGGGGCACUCGUAUUCCGCCGAGAGAGGUGAAAUUCUCAGACCAGCGGAAGACGAACCACUGCGAAAGCAUUUGCCAGGGAUGUUUUCACUG
rnacentral:rRNA from 1 species